rnacentral:snoRNA from 1 species
UUGACCAAUGAUGGCUAUGUGUUGUGAAUUAAGAAUCAUGAUUAAUCCAUUUCAGCACAACUGAAUUCAUUA